rnacentral:rRNA from 1 species
GUGGGGAAUAUUGGACAAUGGGCGAAAGCCUGAUCCAGCGACGCCGCGUGGGUGAAGAAGGCCUUCGGGUUGUAAAGCCCUUUAAGCCGGGACGAAAAAGCUACACCUAACACGUGUGGCCUUGACGGUACCGGAAGAAUAAGCACCGGCUAACUCUGUGCCAGCAGCCGCGGUAAUACAGAGGGUGCGAGCGUUAAUCGGAUUUACUGGGCGUAAAGCGUGUGUAGGUGGCCGCGUAAGUCGGUUGUGAAAUCCCUGGGCUCAACCUGGGAAUUGCAGCCGAUACUGCAUGGCUCGAGUUCGGUAGAGGGCGGCGGAAUUCCCGGUGUAGCGGUGAAAUGCGUAGAUAUCGGGAGGAACAUCGAUGGCGAAAGCAACCGCCUGGGCCUGAACUGACACUGAGACACGAAAGCGUGGGGAGCAAACAGGAUUAGAAACCCCUGUAGUCC